AAACGUCACUAUUUUUUCUUUUUGUUGCUUCAUCAAAAUUGUGGUCUAAAAGUGUAUAAGUGGUUAUUUAAAUGUUAUUAAUGUUAUUUUAACAUAUUAAAGGAAAUCAUUUCAUUAUUAAACACCUAAAAUUUACUUUUUGAAAUGGAAAUACCUUCUUUAAGAUCGAGCGUAUCAUCCGACCAACAUGAAUUAAAACGAAAGUCGUUACUUGGCUCUGGUUCGAAUAAAAGAGUUUCUAUCGACGAAAAGAGCACGAUUGUACAUCUAGUAUAUGACAAAUCACUUCAAGAUGUGGUAGAUCCAAGAGCAUUAUGUACUGCAGAUCUAACUGUAGAAGCAGAUUCAAAAGAUGAUAUACAUAGUCAAUUCACUCUAAACAACACAAACGAUUAUAAAACUGUAUAUGUGAAGUCUUUACCAGAAAUUCAAAGUAUAGAAACAGAUUCUAAACUUGAAAGUUUAAUAGAAACAGAAACAGAAAGUUUACGAAGUGAUCAAAUUGAAGUACAUAUUGUUUUAAAAGAAAUUUUGCAAGGUAUUCUGUCGACUGUCUCAGGGAGAAUGGUUGAAACUCCUAAGCCCCCUCCACGAUCGAAAUCAAUCCUAAUGCCUUGCUUUGAAUUUACGUGUGAAUUUAAAAGAAAAGAAAGGCAGGCCAUUUGUAGUCCUUACAAAGAUCUGGAAAUACUUACGGAAGAGUUCGUAGAUUGCAUUAUCAGCGAGGCCACAGCUGAAGUAGAAAAACAUUUGACCGCAUACACAAGUCAGAAAGUUAAAAAGCACAUGAGAUUAGAAAUUGAUGAUGAAAUUCAUCCUUCUAUAAUGAAGCCCGUUUUCUCUUGGCCUACCAUUAAACAAUUCAACAUAGCCCUAGGUCUUCAAAAAAUAACUGAAUUCAUCAUGGCUUGCGAUGCUAAAGAGCGAUGGUUGUUUGGAGUAUACUAUUUGAGAACUACCAGAGAAGCAAUAUCAGCUUUUUACGAAUAUGAGGUAGGUACGUGUAGGUACAUGUCAUCGUAGCUCUAGGUCUUCAAAAAUAACUGAAUUCGUCAUGGCUUGCGAUGCUAAAGAACGAUGAUUGUUUGAAGUAUACUAUUUGGGAACUACUAGAGAAGCAAUAUCAGCUGUUAUGAAUAUGAGGUUAUUUGUGGUUUACCAUCGUCAAUAUAUCCAAUAGCACAAGCAACGGCAAGUAUUUAUUUUGUGAUAGAAGUAUCAAACGUUAUACCAUCGACUUGUUCAGUAACG
rnacentral:misc_RNA from 1 species